AUACUUUGUUGGAUGUAGUAGCUUGUGAAGUUACAAGGUGUGAUGUAAAGAAUAUACUAUAUGUAAACUGGAAGGAGAAAACAUUUUAAAAUCCAGUCUACACUUUGACGCAAGUACCAUUUGUGUUUUCUGCACAUACAUAUUGCAAGACUAGUUUAACAGGGAAUGCAUUCCCUGCAAAAUUAAUAUGGUAACACUUCCAUUAACAGGGGAGAAAAUGCAGUGCCAGUUUUCUGUUGGAAGACAAGAGAUGACACAUGGCAGUAAAUCCAAUAAUUAAUAUCUGUAUUUUGAACCUCCUGAUGUCUUCAAGUGCUCACACAGUGCUCCAUCUUAAAGCAGAAAAAUUCAUUUAUUUUUCCAAUUGGAAUAAACAGCACCUGUCAGUAUAGGCAGAAUGGGCUGCCAGAAAGUUUUCAGCUGGAGCAUUUGCCACUCUUUCCAGCAAACUUUGGUUCCAUGAUGCAGUCAAGAGGCAGUUGAAGAUGCCAGUUAGAAAGCAACUGCGGAGCUUUGUGCAUAUCUGUGUUUAUCCUAUCCGUGCAGUCCUAUCCACAAAGCCCACCAACCUGAAAACCCCACUUUUGGUGAGGGAGGAAGGAAGGAAAAGCUUCUGUGGGUUCAAGAAGUGGCACUCUUCCUGUUGGCACUGAAUCCAUGCCCUGGCACUUGAAAGGGUGUGUGAGGGGAUCCUUGUUUUAUUUGGGAUUCUGGGCAAUUUUUCUGAAUACCAAAAAGUUCUCUGUGUUUGAGACUGUUAAAACAACAUUCUGUCCAACCUUCAGCUCAAGUAGGGGCAUUUUUCUUCUCAUUCAUUUCCCUUGGUAUUUAAGACCAUAAUAUUUGUAUAUAAAUCCUUGCUUUCAAAGGACUUUUUUUUUUUUUUUUCCCCAGGGCCUGUUUUCAUGUCAUUUGUUAAAAAAUAGAACUCCAGAGAUGAUGAGCUUUCCUAUUUACUCCCAUUUUUAGUGUGUCCAUAAACCUCAAACUAUUUUCUGGUACAAGAACUAGGAGCCAUCACAUGGAGCUAGUAGGAGACAUGGUCAAGGCAAGCAAAAGGAAUUAGUUUUUUUGCACAGCAGGCAGCAGAUGUGUCACCUUGCCAAAGAAAGCUGUGGAUGCAAAAGGUUGUUAUAUGGAUUCAAGAGGAGAUUUGACUCAGAAAAUGCCAUGCCCUGAACUGAGAACACAUGAAGGCUGGAGGAGGCAAGAAAUCUCAGCUGUGGGAUUGGAUUCUGUUGCUCUCCGCACUGAAUGAAUGAACAGCCACACUAAAAGAUUUCUGCAACAGAUCCAUAAUCUGGAGGGAGAGAGACAGAAAAUAAGGACUGCAAAGAUGUAUGAGCACAGACCGUGUUUGCAUGUCCUGAUGGCUUUCUGGGAAUAUGAGAAAAAACAUCUGGAUUUAUUUCUUUUGUUAUUGUCAUGGCACAGCUCUUUUAUCAGAGACCAACAAAUGAAUGAACUGCUGAAUCUUAGCCCAUUUGUCUGUCAUCUCCUGCCUCUGAUGCAAGCAGGCAGAGAGAUAGCACAAGGACUGUGUUUCAGGCUUGAUCCAGCAAUGUGAAUUUACCCUUUGGUGUUUCCUACAGCUGUCGCAGGAGAGGUUACUUCCUAUGGGAGGGCAGUGGUGUAUUGUUGCAGAAUCUCUGCCAGCAAUUAGCGCAAAUGCCUCUCUCUGGAAUAACAAGAAACAAAAAGCUGUGGGGCCAGUAGGAUUAUGGGUCAAGAAAUCCUGCCUUUAUUAAGUGAGGCCAUUUUCCUACCUGCUGUUAAGCUGACUAAAUACAAAAGGCUAAUUUCUGGAAGGUCACCCAGUUGUAUAAUGUUACCCGAUUUUGUUUUUAUAUUUCAACACUUUUUUCUUUUUUCUUUUAUUUUUCUUUGGUUAAGGUUCAUUUGCUGCUUUCAAACAAUACCUAUAUUUCAAACACAUCAGUGAUUUGAGUAACUCACUUGGAAAAAUACCAUCUAUUAAAUGAAUCUAUUAAAUGAAUGAUUUUGCAAUUUAAUGCAUUCAAGAAAUUGAAUAACCCCUAUAUUAUUACUUGUAACAGUCUAGUCCCUUGGCAUUAAAACAAAACAGAACAAACCAGCA